CAAGGUGGGGGGCUUGCUCUGGAUUCAGCGGCGGACGGGUGAGUAAUGCCUAGGAAUCUGCCUGGUAGUGGGGGAUAACGUCCGGAAACGGGCGCUAAUACCGCAUACGUCCUGAGGGAGAAAGUGGGGGAUCUUCGGACCUCACGCUAUCAGAUGAGCCUAGGUCGGAUUAGCUAGUUGGUGGGGUAAAGGCCUACCAAGGCGACGAUCCGUAACUGGUCUGAGAGGAUGAUCAGUCACACUGGAACUGAGACACGGUCCAGACUCCUACGGGAGGCAGCAGUGGGGAAUAUUGGACAAUGGGCGAAAGCCUGAUCCAGCCAUGCCGCGUGUGUGAAGAAGGUCUUCGGAUUGUAAAGCACUUUAAGUUGGGAGGAAGGGCAGUAAGUUAAUACCUUGCUGUUUUGACGUUACCAACAGAAUAAGCACCGGCUAACUUCGUGCCAGCAGCCGCGGUAAUACGAAGGGUGCAAGCGUUAAUCGGAAUUACUGGGCGUAAAGCGCGCGUAGGUGGUUCAGCAAGUUGGAUGUGAAAUCCCCGGGCUCAACCUGGGAACUGCAUCCAAAACUACUGAGCUAGAGUACGGUAGAGGGUGGUGGAAUUUCCUGUGUAGCGGUGAAAUGCGUAGAUAUAGGAAGGAACACCAGUGGCGAAGGCGACCACCUGGACUGAUACUGACACUGAGGUGCGAAAGCGUGGGGAGCAAACAGGAUUAGAUACCCUGGUAGUCCACGCCGUAACGAUGUCGACUAGCCGUUGGGAUCCUUGAGAUCUUAGUGGCGCAGCUACGCGAUAAGUCGACCGCCUGGGGGAGUACGGCCGCAAGGUUAAAACUCAAUGAAUUUGACGGGGGCCCGCACAGCGGGUGGAGCAUGUGGGUUUAAUUCCGAAGCCAACGCGAGACCAUUUACCCUGGCCCUUUUGAACAGGGCCUGGAGAGAAAACAAC
rnacentral:rRNA from 1 species